rnacentral:tRNA from 1 species
UGCGAUUUGGUGUAGUGCAUUACUAAUUUUGAUUUAGUAGGUAAAAUAUUAUUUUAUUCGUAA